rnacentral:rRNA from 1 species
UACGGAGGGUGCAAGCGUUAUCCGGAUUCACUGGGUUUAAAGGGUGCGUAGGUGGGCAAGUAAGUCAGUGGUGAAAUCUCCGGGCUUAACCCGGAAACUGCCAUUGAUGCUAUUUGUCUUGAAUACUGUGGAGGUCAGCGGAAUAUGUCAUGUAGCGGUGAAAUGCUUAGAUAUGACAUAGAACACCAAUUGCGAAGGCAGCUGGCUACACAAAUAUUGACACUGAGGCACGAAAGCGUGGGGAUCAAACAGG